rnacentral:rRNA from 1 species
AUUGAACGCUGGCGGCAGGCCUAACACAUGCAAGUCGAACGGUAACAGGAAGCAGCUUGCUGCUUCGCUGACGAGUGGCGGACGGGUGAGUAAUGUCUGGGAAGCUGCCUGAUGGAGGGGGAUAACUACUGGAAACGGUAGCUAAUACCGCAUAAUGUCGCAAGACCAAAGAGGGGGACCUUCGGGCCUCUUGCCAUCGGAUGUGCCCAGAUGGGAUUCGCUUGUUGGUGGGGUAACGGCUCACCAAGGCGACGAUCCCUAGCUGGUCUGAGAGGAUGACCAGCCACACUGGAACUGAGACACGGUCCAGACUCCUACGGGAGGCAGCAGUGGGGAAUAUUGCACAAAGGGCGCAAGCCUGAUGCAGCCAUGCCGCGUGUAUGAAGAAGGCCUUCGGGUUGUAAAGUACUUUCAGCGGGGAGGAAGGGAGUAAAGUUAAUACCUUUGCUCAUUGACGUUACCCGCAGAAGAAGCACCGGCUAACUCCGUG